GGGGGAGGCUUACCAUGCAGUCGAGCGAGCGCCUGCGCGUGAUCCCUCGGAAGGAAGCGCGUAUGACUGAGUGGCGGACGGGUGAGUCACGCGUGGGCAACCUGCCUCGUGCCGGGGGACAACAGCCGGAAACGGCUGCUAAUACCGCAUGAUACGGGAGGGCCGCAUGGCCCUGCGGGGAAAGCUCCGGCGGCGCGGAAGGGGCCCGCGCCGGAUUAGUUUGUUGGCGGGGUAACGGCCCACCAAGACUGCGAUCAGCAGCCGACCUGAGAGGGCGACCGGCCACAUUGGGACUGAGACACGGCCCAGACUCCUGCGGGAGGCAGCAGUGGGGAAUAUUGCACAAUGGGGGAAACCCUGAUGCAGCGACGCCGCGUGAGCGACGAAGCACUCCGGCGCGUAAAGCCCUGUUCAGCAGGGAAGAAAAUGAACGGUACUGGAUCAAAAACCCCCGGUUAAUUACUGGCCACCACCCCCGGAAUUACUUAGGGGGCAGGCGUUAUCCGAAUUCCCGGGUGGUAAGGGAACCUCAAGCGGCACUCCAACUCUGGGGUGAAACCCGGGGCUCCACCCCCGGAACGGCUUUGGAACUGGGCGGCCUGAAUGGCCGAAAGGCUAAGCGAAUUUCCUGUGGUAACGGGAAAUGCGCAGAUAUCANGAAGAACACCGGUGGCGUANGCGGCUGCUGGACGAUGACUGACGCUGAGGCUCGAAAGCGUGGGGAGCANACAGGAUUAGAUACCCUGGUAGUCCACGCCGUANACGAUGACUACUCAGGUGUCGGCUGGNCAAGCCAUUCGGUGCCGCAGCUAACGCAAUAAGUAGUCCACCUGGGGAGUACGUUCGCAAGAAUGAAACUCAAAGGAAUUGACGGGGAACCGCACAAGCGGUGAAGCAUGU
rnacentral:rRNA from 1 species